rnacentral:lncRNA from 1 species
CUGGGUGACGAUUGAAACACUGUCACUUCUACUGUCCCUGUGACUACCAGGAUCCCCAGUGGGGUUCAUGAGGCAGCUCUCCUAUCCUGCUGUCGGUCAAGUUACAUGGGGUUCCAGUUGUUUCCAGCUGCUGACUGCACUUCUGUCUGGAGCAUUUGCUGUCCUGAGGCACGCAAAGACAGUGACAGUCACCCACUGAACCUCAGCUUGGGAUAGUCUCCAUUAAUGUCUCACAGUGUCCCGGCUGCCCUUUGGUGUGUCUACUGUAUCUAGACCAAACUGGACACUUCUGAGCAGGCUACACCUCUUAGAGCUCUGGCCGUCAUGCCACCUGACUUGUGGGGAUGCUCCACAGAACCACAGAAGAGCUGAGGUGGUGAUUAGCACCCCAAGAUGCUCUCCUUUGGGUGACUUCCUCUCAGAAGAGUGGCAUCUGACCUUUGAAGACGUACUAUUCGGUUUUGUCACACUUGAGAAUCCCCCCACCCCCCGAAACACUUUGCCUGCUCUGGCGACUGGCUCUCUAUUCUCUGGGACUCCCUUUGUUUUCCAACUCAAAUUCCAAAACUAGAAUGUCCUGUCCCAUUCCAGAUGAAGUUGACUAUGCUUCCCCCUCACCCCCAGCUCAGGGACACCUGAGUGGCCACAUGGGCCAUUGCUCAGGAACCUGAGCCCCUGGUCAAGCAGGAAGCAUGAGGUCUUUGUGUGUUGAGCACAGCAGGAGUCUGCUCUACAGCUUCUGUGGUCACUACGUGCUCCCUCCAUAGGAGGCAGUGCUCCUUACCCUUUUCAAGAGCCUUUCCUGAACACAGGGCACUGUCCCCUUGUGUCCCAUGUUGCACCUCUGUGGUCAUUUCC